rnacentral:rRNA from 1 species
UACGGAGGGGGCAAGCGUUAUUCGGAAUUAUUGGGCGUAAAGGGCGCGUAGGCGGCCUGGUAAGUCAGUGGUGAAAUCCCUCGGCCUAACCGAGGAACUGCCUCUGAAACUGCCAAGCUUGAGGCCGGGAGAGGGUAGUGGAAUUCCCAGUGUAGCGGUGAAAUGCGUAGAUAUUGGGAGGAACACCAGUGGCGAAGGCGACUACCUGGACCGGUUCUGACGCUGAGGCGCGAAAGCGUGGGGAGCAAACAGG